rnacentral:rRNA from 1 species
GACGAACGCUGGCGGCGUGCCUAAUACAUGCAAGUUGAGCGCUGAAGGUUGGUACUUGUACCAACUGGAUGAGCAGCGAACGGGUGAGUAACGCGUGGGGAAUCUGCCUUUGAGCGGGGGACAACAUUUGGAAACGAAUGCUAAUACCGCAUAAAAACUUUAAACACAAGUUUUAAGUUUGAAAGAUGCAAUUGCAUCACUCAAAGAUGAUCCCGCGGUUUAUUAGCUAGGUGGUGAGGUAAAGGCCCACCAAGGCGAAGAUACAUAGCCGAACUGAGAGGGUGAACGGCCACAUUGGGACUGGGACACGGCCCAAACUCCUACGGGAGGCAGCAGUAGGGAAUCUUCGGCAAAGGACGGAAGGCUGGACGAGGAACGGCGGGUGAGGGAAGAAGGGUUUCGGAUCGUAAAACUCCGUUGGUAGGGAAGAAAGUUGGUGAGAGUGGAAAGCUCAUAAAGUGACGGUAACUACCCAGAAAGGGACGGCUAACUACGUG